CGAGAUCAUGAGGAAAAACAACUUUUAUGUCGAUAUCACAUGAAAAUUAAGUUGUGAUCACGAGAAAACAUUUUUUUAAUGUCGAGAUGACAAGAAAAUUAAGUCGGAAUCACGAGAAAACAACAGAUUUUUUAUUUAUUUAAUUUUUUUAAAUAUAUAUAAUGCAUGGCCGCUUAGGGCUUCUGUAGUUGGGAGGCGGGAUCAAAUAGUUAGCACACCUUGUCACAUGGUUAUAUACAUUUAGUCUUGUUCAGAACUCUAUAAACAAUUUUAAUGGGUAUUUAAUUAUGUGCUCUUUACAUAUGUCAAAUUAUAUCUAUAGGUAUGACUAUACUUCACUUUUAAAAUUCAUUCUUGAGGAAUACUGAACACCACAAAUCGUAUUGAUUGUAUGAUUUUAACAUUGUAAGGGGGCGACGCAAAGGUACUGCGACUCUUCAUUGGGUGGUGCAUACUUUUUUGUUAUUGGUCAAAAGAAAUGGCGGAACAUUCCCAUUGGUCUGGUGCACUGGCUGCAAUGCGAAUCCAUCGCCAUGCUGUUCACAAUACCAUGUUGACCAGAAAAUAAAGUCUUGUAUGGAAGCAGUAUAAUACCCAGAAAUUUGUGUUAAAAAAGUUCUCUUAAAUAUAUAUUUAUUUGACUUAUUUAUAUAUCUAAAUAUAUUAUAUAUAUGAUCCUUAAUCCGAUUGCCGUUUGUUGCUAGGCAGAUUAUGGUAAUACUCGGCCAUUUCUGCAGCUACCAUUCCGAGUACUAGCCUGCAUCAGAUUCUGAAAAUGUGGAUGAUCAAGCAGAUCAAUCGGAAGGAACUUUGCGAGCACGACUUGAGCAGAAUGUUUCACAGUGGUAAGUUUUUAUUUUGUAACUUGCUUACCUUUAAGAUAUGAUGAUAUAUAACACACUAAAGGAAAACAUUAAAAAGCAUCAUUUGACCCCUUUAAAGAAGCACCCAAAUGUUACAUGCAAUGCAUAUUCUCAAAUUUAUGACUUUUCUGCUCCUUUGCAGCUGGACCAAUAAUCAUACAGUCAUGGGGAAAAGAAUUUACACCCUCCUUCAAUUCUAUGUUUUUAUUUAUCUGGGUCUAAAUAACAUUUGUGUGAUCCUCACCAAUCAUUUUGCAUACAUUUUGAUCCAGUCUUCUUUAAAACAUUUCUUCAGAUCAGGUCAUUCGUUUAUGCACAGCUCUCUUAAUAUCCAGCCACAGCAUCAAUGGGGUUGAGGUCUGGACUUUGACGUGCCCAUUCCAACACCUUGAUUUUUUUUCUGCUUUAGCCACUAAGAUUGAGCCACUGACCCUAUUGCAUGACCUGAUUUCAGCCCAGCAUAAACUGCUGGAUAAAUGACCUCACAUUUACCUCUAGAAUAUUCUGGUAUAAAGUGCAAGUCAUCGUUGUCUCAAUGGCUGCAAGUUUCCCAGGUCCUGUAGCUGCACAACAAGCUGAAAUCAUCACCCCUCCACCACCAUGACUGACAGUUGAUAUGGGAUGUUUCUGACGAUACACUGUGGUUUUCACCAAGAAUGGCGCUGUACAUGAGGACCAAACAUAUCCACCUUGGUCUCAUCAGUCCAAAGGAUACAGUUCUAGAACUUCUGUUGUUUGUUUAGAUGCAAUUUUGAAAACCUAAAUCAUGCUGCCUUUUUUUUUUUUUUUUUUGGAGACAAGGGACCUUUUCCUAGCCAUGUAUGAUUGUGCAGUCAUGAACAUAAAUAUGUAAUGUUCUUACAGCGGCCUGUAGGUCACCUGUUGUGGCUCUGGGGUUUUUCUCUACAUUUCUGAGCAUUAAACAGUCUGAACUUGGACUGAAUAUGCUAGGAUGCCCACUCCUGGGAAGAUGGACAGCUGUCUUGAACGCUCUCUAUUUGUAAACAGUCCUUUUCACUGUAGAAUGGUGACUUCAAAUUCUUUGAAGAUGACCUUAUAACCCUUCCCUGAUUGAAGCUCAGCAUGACUGUCUUUUCUUCUUGGCAUCAUGUAGACACACACCUGAGUGCGCCAGAACACCACACUGCCAAAAGUCACACUUCUUGAUGUAUUAACACCUGGCUGAUUAAUGAUUGUGGAAGUAGGAAGUAUGUACUUAUUUUUUCCCACCUGGUUGCUGAUGUUUCGUGGGGAAAAUGUCUACAUAUUGAAGUCUGUUGUGUUUUUUGUUGUCAUCCGAGGUUAUUUGUUUGUUUUAUAGAAGUUUGGAAGGACCACACAAUUGUUAUUUAAGCAGUGAUAAAUAAAAACAUUGAAGAAUUGAAGGAGGGUGUAUUUUCUUUUUACCAUGACUGUGUGUCUCCGGUCUUGUUUUUUGAACAUGACCACUGUAGCCAGUCUGCAGAAUUUUGUGGAGGUUUUUUUUUGUGUGUGUGAUUGUUGUGGCCAAAAAUGCUUGAAUUUGCUGCAGCUUUUUUUUCCCUCACAAUUUGUAAUACAACUUGUGCAAUCUUUUAUGCUUUUCUUGCAGACAACUACUUGAAUUGGUGAAAUCACAAUUGCACAACAUUUAUAGCACAGUUAUCCGCAGUGAUGUUUGUUGGUUAAUGAGACCUUUUAGCUGUACUCAUGUGCAGCAGUUUUUUAAAAAUUGCAACCUUCUCCAAAUAUUGCAGAGUUUGCUUGAUUUUGCAUUAAUUUCUGCAGGGACUGUGUAGCUAUGAUUUACUAGAAAAAUGUGAUUCCACAGAAGUGUCUAUGGGAUUACAGGCUAGCAUACAAUGCUCAGUGGCAAUGAGCUUAAACAGCUUAAUUUAAACAGUGACUUUUUUUUUCUUCAGCAUAUUGUCAUUUAAAGAGACAAACAUUUUUGCGCUUUAAAGGAGAUGUGAAAAAGAUCUGUUUUCAAAUGUUGGUCUCUACUGGUUAAGGAAAAAAGGAAAACCCUUAAAUAAAUAAAUAUAUGCGUGUGUUAUUUUAUAU
ensembl:lncRNA